UACGAAGGGUGCAAGCGUUACUCGGAAUUACUGGGCGUAAAGCGUGCGUAGGUGGUUUGUUAAGUCUGUUGUGAAAGCCCCGGGCUCAACCUGGGAAUGGCAAUGGAUACUGGCAAGCUAGAGUGCGGUAGAGGGUAGUGGAAUUCCCGGUGUAGCGGUGAAAUGCGUAGAGAUCGGGAGGAACACCAGUGGCGAAGGCGGGCUACCUGGACCAGCACUGACACUGAGGCACGAAAGCGUGGGGAGCAAACAGGA
rnacentral:rRNA from 1 species